rnacentral:rRNA from 1 species
AGUUUGAUCAUGGCUCAGAGCGAACGUUAGCGGCGGGCUUAACACAUGCAAGUCGAGCGAGAAAGUGGCUUCGGCCAUCAGUAAAGCGGCGGACGGGUGAGUAACACGUAGGUAAUCUUCCCUUGAGCGGGGGACAACGAGCCGAAAGGCUCGCUAAUACCGCAUAAGUUCCCAGGGUCUUUGGAUCUUGGGAGGAAAGCUAGGUAGCAAUAUCCGGCACUCGAGGAGGAGCCUGCGUCGCAUCAGCUAGUUGGUGGGGUAAUGGCCUACCAAGGCGAAGACGCGUAGCUGGUCUGAGAGGAUGAUCAGCCACACUGAAACUGAGACACGGUUCAGACUCCUACGGGAGGCAGCAGUGGGGAAUAUUGGACAAUGGGCGCAAGCCUGAUCCAGCCACGCCGCGUGAGUGAUGAAGGCCUUCGGGUCGUAAAGCUCUGUGGGGAGGGACGAACCGCCGUUGGUUAAUACCCAACGGCAUGACGGUACCUCCUUAGCAAGCACCGGCUAACUUCGUGCCAGCAGCCGCGGUAAUACGAAGGGUGCAAACGUUGCUCGGAAUUAUUGGGCGUAAAGCGCACGUAGGCGGCUUAGCAAGUUGGAUGUGAAAUCCCUCGGCUCAACCAAGGAAGUGCAUCCAAAACUGCUGAGCUUGAGUACUUAAGAGGAUCGCGGAAUUCCCGGUGUAGAGGUGAAAUUCGUAGAUAUCGGGAGGAACACCAGUG